rnacentral:ncRNA from 2 species
UGCGACGGAAUCGGGAGAAGCCGGCCCUCGCGGUCGGUGCCGAAGGAGCAACCGCCCCGGGAAACUCUCAGGCAAAAGGACCGUUCCGGCCAU